UACGUAGGGUCCAAGCGUUGUCCGGAAUUAUUGGGCGUAAAGAGCUCGUAGGCGGCUUGUCGCGUCGUCCGUGAAAACCUGGGGCUCAACCCCAGGCUUGCGGUCGAUACGGGCAGGCUCGAGUUCGGUAGGGGAGACUGGAAUUCCUGGUGUAGCGGUGAAAUGCGCAGAUAUCAGGAGGAACACCGGUGGCGAAGGCGGGUCUCUGGGCCGAUAUUGACGCUGAGGAGCGAAAGCGUGGGGAGCGAACAGG
rnacentral:rRNA from 1 species